UACGUAGGGUGCGAGCGUUGUCCGGAAUUACUGGGCGUAAAGAGCUCGUAGGUGGUUUGUCGCGUUGUUCGUGAAAACUCACAGCUUAACUGUGGGCGUGCGGGCGAUACGGGCAGACUGGAGUACUGCAGGGGAGACUGGAAUUCCUGGUGUAGCGGUGGAAUGCGCAGAUAUCAGGAGGAACACCGGUGGCGAAGGCGGUUCUCUGGGCCUUACCUGACGCUGAGGAGCGAAAGCGUGGGGAGCGAACAGG
rnacentral:rRNA from 1 species